GAUAACUCAGAGUCUCACUUCCCAUAAUUCAUUGGUCACUCAUUCUGCCUCUCUUUCUAUUCCCACUGCUCCUAUUCUGACUCAUACCUUUGUCAUCUGUCUCCUAACAUGACACUUGCUUCCUAACUAAUUUCUCUGCUGAACUUUCUGCGACUUUCCCCAGCUCUUCUUUCCCAAGAUGGAGAGGCCAAGGAAAAGACACUUCUAGCAAUAUAUUCUCCAAAUACACCCUUCACAUAACCAUCAGUAUAAUCUGGGGUGCAGAAGGGUUGAACAGUCUUUUGAUAACUGCUUCAGGAUGAGGAGAGGAAUUGAUGUUGCCCAGCCAGACAUCAAAAGUCUCGCCCUGACUGAUCUAAAGGAGAAAAAGAAUAUGGACUUCGUUAUUUGAUAGUCUGGAAAAGAAGACAAUAAAUAACAUUAACACUUCAAUUGAUAACUUUUCAUAACUCUUUAAUUUAUAAAAUCAUUUUAUAAGCUUCAUUUUAUAACCAUGUUAUACAAGCAGGGGCCAGACAUUAAAAGUAGAAUAUUGAUUAAUAGAAGCUCAAGAAAUUAUAGAAGCCAGACAAAAUUAGGCA
rnacentral:lncRNA from 1 species